AAAACAACAAGUAAACACCCUCAUAUAAUCUUGGGAAUAUGGCCCAUAAGUAUCUACCCGGUUACCGUAAAUGAUCGGACUAUGAGGGAAAGUAGCUGUCUG
rnacentral:ncRNA from 14 species